UUUUUUUUUAAUUACAAUCUAUUAUGUAUAUUGCAGCGAACCGUGAUAGAUGAAAGAAUUUUACUUCGGAUUUUGAUUGGAUUCGUUAUAUUUCCAUAAACAAAUCUAUCCACCGAACGUGCCUUUUUCCAUCCCGACGAAUGAUUAAUGGACAUGGCGUUAACAACCAACGUAUGAAGCUGGACACGUCCAUCAGCAACAUAAUAUUAAUACAAUAUGUAUACACCAUCUAUAUGAAAACAAUGCAUCUCGCUGAUUGUAAUUGAUAAAUCAUCAGAGUAUAUAUAUAUCUAUAUAUAUAUAUAUAAACUCUCUGUUUCCAGGUAUACACGCAUCAUUUGAUACACAGGGUAUAUUUCCAUUAGUGAUCAUUUUUAACCCGAAACUGUCGAGGAUGAGCCACUGACAGCUUCUCGAAGAAGCGCAAUCGAGGCAGAGAAUGUGAACUAAACGACACGUGGAGAGAUUAGGAUGCAGCCUCCAUCGAACGUGAUUUAAACGAAAAAAAAUGAUAGAUGGUGUAAAUCUAUGUGGCGAAACAACCAAAUGUUAUGAAUUUGUAUAUGAACGGUAUUAUGAUGAACAAGGAGGGCCGUGAUGAAAGGUGAACGAACCGGAGAAUCGUGUAACGUGAACGACGUUGGCGCAUCCACGAGGCCGGGCCAAAAAGACUUCUGGCUCGUAGCUGGCAAUGUUUGAAGUGCCGUCGCCGGAAGCUUACAAACACCGGCCCGGUGUUGUGACAUCGUAUUAUGCCAAGCGAAACUUACGAUCUCGCUAGAUCGUUAAUUUGCGAUCCAGCUUUACGACGUCUAGUUUGCACCGAAUCACUGAUGUACUUGGCAAAAAUUCGUCAAACAACUAGCCCACCAAUACUUCAUAUAACUAUCGCACAAUCUUGUUUUCCUCCAUUCUAGGCAAAUUAUUAAAUCAAAUUAGGAAUAUAAUUUAUGUAUAAUUAUACAUAAAAUUUUGGUAAGAGAAUACAGUGCAAAAAUGUUGCAUUAGUUACGUAGAAAAUUCACAAUUAUUUUCACGGCUAGAAUUGUCAAAAGCGGUUUGCAAAUGUGGCAGAAUAUACAGAGAUCGCGUGGAAUAUACCGCAGAAGUGCAUCAGGGGGUUGACACUGAAAAACGUUCUCGAGAAAUCUGUCGAGGCGGUUGGCUGGAACACGUGGUCACCUCGUUAAUUCGCUAGACAGCCAUUAAAUUAAGCUCCUAUACCGCCACCGAUGAAUGCUUUGAACGAAUAGGAAAAAAGAGAAUCGACAUAGCUGGAUUCUUCAAAGGACAAGAAACUUUAAGAUACUUGGAUUAUUAUUGGUGUACUUGCUGGAAGAAAUAUGUGCAGAGCUUGGAAAGAAAGUGGUAAAUGAAAAAGAAGUAAUAUAUC